rnacentral:rRNA from 1 species
GGCUCAGGAUGAACGCUGGCGGCGUGCCUAACACAUGCAAGUCGAACGGAGUUCUUAAGGAAUGCGACUUCGGUCAAAUGACUUUUGAACUUAGUGGCGGACGGGUGAGUAACGCGUGAGCAACCUGCCUUUCAGAGGGGGAUAACAUUUGGAAAUAGAUGCUAAUACCGCAUAAGAUUACAGUACCGCAUGAUACAGUGAUCAAAGGAGCAAUCCGCUGAAAGAUGGGCUCGCGUCCGAUUAGAUAGUUGGUGAGGUAACGGGCUCACCAAGUCGACGAUCGGUAGCCGGACUGAGAGGUUGAACGGCCACAUUGGGACUGAGACACGGCCCAGACUCCUACGGGAGGCAGCAGUGGGGAAUAUUGCACAAUGGGCGAAAGCCUGAUGCAGCAACGCCGCGUGAGGGAAGACGGUUUUCGGAUUGUAAACCUCUGUUUUCGGUGACGAACAAAUGACGGUAACCGAGUAGGAAGCCACGGCUAACUACGUG